GGUCCACGAGCCGAACUUCAUGGUGCAGUUCUGUUCUGCUGGUCGAAGGGGAAGUGCUUGACCUCGAUCUUGCAGGCGCUCUUGUAGAUGGCCGGAGGCAGCCA